rnacentral:rRNA from 1 species
GUGACCUCAAAUCAGGUAGGACUACCCGCUGAACUUAAGCAUAUCAAUAAGCGGAGGAAAAGAAACUAACAAGGAUUCCCCUAGUAACUGCGAGUGAAGCGGGAAAGCUCAAAUUUAAAUCUGGCGUCCUUGGGCUGUCGAGUGUAUCAGAGAGGUAUCCCGCGGAC